rnacentral:rRNA from 1 species
AGUGAACGCUGGCGGUAUGCCUAACACAUGCAAGUCGAACGGCCAGACAAUAAGCGCUUGCUCUUACGGUUGGCGACUGACGGGCGAGUGAGGCGUGCAUCGGCAUCUACUUUUUCGUGGAGAAUAACGUAAGACCACUUACGCUACUACCGCAUACAAUCUACCGGAUAAAUCAGUAGAUCUUCGCACCUUGCCUGUUUGAAUUAGCUGAUGUCGGAUUAGCUAGUCUGCGGGGUAAGGGCCUACCAAGGCGACGAUACGUAGCGGGGCUGAGAGGAUGAUCAGCCACACUGGAACUGAGACACGGUCCAGACUCCUACGGGAGGCAGCAGUGGGGAAUAUUGGACAAUGGGCGAAAGCCUGACGGAGCAAUACCGCGUGAGUGAAGAAGGCCUUCGGGUUGUAAAACUCUGUUGUUGGGAAAGAAAAACAGCAGGUGAAUACACGGCCGUUCUGACGGUACCCAAAGAAUAAGCACCGGCUAACUUCGUG